CAAACGACUCUCGGCAACGGAUAUCUCGGCUCACGCAUCGAUGAAGAACGUAGCAAAAUGCGAUACUUGGUGUGAAUUGCAGAAUCCCGUGAACCAUCGAGUUUUUGAACGCAAGUUGCGCCCGAAGCCAUCCGGUUGAGGGCACGUCUGCCUGGGCGUCACGC
rnacentral:rRNA from 4 species